ACUUUCGUUCCCGGGAAAGCAGCAGCAGGAGGAGGGGGAGGAAGCCCAUUGUGGCCAGUGGUGCUGAAAGCUCGGCGGCACUAGUGGGGCUGCUGCUAGCGGCGGUGGCGGCGUCCCACUGGCAUAUGCCUUAUUCAUGGCCCAAAGAAAAGACAGAGGCUUGCUCUGCUCUUCUUUUGAAGCUGCUGCUGCUGCUGCUGCUGCUGCUGCUGCUGCUGCUGCUACCGCUGGUGAUUUUCGCCCAGCCCUGCGAGCUGCUAUUCCCACCACGGCAGACAGCUACUCCAGGCUAGACUCUUUACCCAGUGUCGCUGCAAGCUCGCCACAGACUAAUUUCCGAUAGAAAAGAGCCGAGAAACAGCCGAGUAGCCGUAAGCCCGCACGGGAGAGAGAGAGAGAGAUACCAGCCGCGCGACUACACACACACGCUGGAGCUCACGCACGCUCACACCUAAGCCGCUCGAGUCAGAAGAUAAGCCCGCCGCCGGGAGGGGGAAAACCUCGCGCCAGGCCGCGGCAGCAGAUACUAUACUGCUACUUGUAUGUGUGAGGCGUUGAGUGUGUGUAAAAAGAAUAUUCACCUAUGUAACCUAAAGAAUUAUUUAUUUGUAAUGUAUGACAUGAGAGGUGGUAUGAUACAGUGUGAAAACCCAACGAUCGCACGAGAAAACAUAUGUAAAUCGCCAAAUGUAACGGCACUAGACCGAUAACUAUGUAUUGCGUUUGUGUGAGUACUCUAGGGAGGUGUACCGUCGCGCCUCGACCAGAGGAUUCGCCCACUUGGUUUUUCGUCGCAGCCCAGAGAACAUCCCUACGGUUGACCAGACAUUUGUUUAUUGAGAGUAGAGUAAUAUAAGAGUGCGUUAUCCUGUGAUUGUUAUAAGAACGAGGGAGAGGUACGAGAGAGAACUUCAGCCGGAAGGUAGUGUUUAACGGUAAUAUUUAUGAUAUAUAUUGAGUGUGAGAGGAAUAAGCCGGACGUUGCGAAAGUCGGAACGUUACUGCCUCGUGGCAACAUUUUUGACGAGCUGAGAUUUGUAGUACCGGAUAACUGUGCGAGCGUUGUGUGCGAAAACGGAAAUUGUAGCUAGUAGAAAAUAUCACCUUAGAGCCUCGCGUUUAUUAUAUUACCGCCGGUUUUUUUUUGUAAGUAAAGAUUUGUGAAGUGAUAAUCAGUC